CGGGCGUCCUCACAAAUUACCUGCAUUCAGAGAUUCAUACCGGCACAGGUCGGUAUGCGAAGUCCCUUUUGGGGCCUUAGCUCAGCUGGGAGAGCACCUGCUUUGCAAGCAGGGGGUCGUCGGUUCGAUCCCGACAGGCUCCACCAUAUUGAGUGAAAAGACUUCGGGUCUGUAGCUCAGGUGGUUAGAGCGCACCCCUGAUAAGGGUGAGGUCGGUAGUUCGAGUCUACCCAGACCCACCACUCUGAAUGUAGUGCACACUUAAGAAUUUAUAUGGAUCAGCGUUGAGGCUGAGACAUGUUCUUUUAUAACUUGUGACGUAGCGAGCGUUUGAGAUAUCUAUCUAAACGUGUCGUUGAGGCUAAGGCGGGGACUUCGAGUCCCUAAAUAAUUGAGUCGUAUGUUCGCGUUGGUGGCUUUGUACCCCACACAACACGGCAUGUAGCUCCGAGGCAACUUGGGGUUAUAUGGUCAAGCGAAUAAGCGCACACGGUGGAUGCCUAGGCGGUCAGAGGCGAUGAAGGACGUGGUAGCCUGCGAAAAGUGUCGGGGAGCUG
rnacentral:misc_RNA from 1 species